rnacentral:lncRNA from 1 species
CCGCGCACCGCGGAGGAGGCGGCCCUGGCGCGGGGAAGCAGUGGGAAAAUCGCAAGGAAGCCGGCGCUGCUCUGAAGGGAGAGUCUGUGCAGUGGCACCUGCGCGAAGCUGGCCAAAGCCUGCCCAGACGGCUCACCUGUGCGGGAUGGAACAAAAGAAUUUCGCUCUUGUUGCCCACUGUUGUCCAGGCUGGAGUGCAAUGGCACGAUCUCAGCUCACCACAACCUCCGCCUCCUGGGUUCAAGUGAUUCUCCUACCUCAGCCUCCUGAGUAGCUGGGAUUACAGGUCGGCUUGAGGUUUGCGAGUCCCAGCUCCCACUGCCCCUGCCACCUGCCUUUCCCUUCUCAGGACAUACACAGGACUGGGAGAAAAUAGACUAAGUAUUUGAUAUUACAGUAUUGUUAGGUUUUUAUAUGUGCGGUAUCUUAGGAGGGAACAGAAAGCAGCAGACACACCACUGACGAUGGCUUCCAGUGUGGCAGGGGCCAAAGCCCUUGCUCUGUGGCUCCAGGGGCAGCCUGUGCAGGCCCAGCCUGGGGCCACUCAUGCUCCCCAGCCCCACACGAGGCCCAUCCCGUCUCAGCAUAGGCUUCCUUCUUUCCACUGUUCCUGGAGACCCAGCAGGCUGUCAUGGGCCUUUGGUCCCUACACAGUCCACUCCAGUGGCCACCAGGCUUCUGCAGCCAUCAUUUCCCAUGUGCACGUGGGAAAGAACUAGGCCAGGCUUCUAAGUUAUCUAGACCUUCCUUUUUUUUUUUUUUUUUUUUUUUUUUUGAGACACAGUCUCACUGUGUCGCCCAGGCUGGAGUGCAAGUGGUACGAUCUCAGCUCACUGCAACCUCUGCCUCCUGGGUUCAAGUGAUUCUCUGCCUCAGCCUUCCAAGUAGCUGGGAUUACAGGUGCACACCAACACACCCAGCUAAUUUUUGUAUUUUUAAUAGCGAUGGGGUUUCACCAUGUUGGCCAGGAUGGUCUCGAACUCCUGAUCUCAAGUGAUCCGCCCACCUCAGCCUCCCAAAAUGUUUGGAUUACAGGCAUGAGCCACCACCCCUGGCCUGGACCCUCUUUUUGACAUGUGUGAGCAUAGGCAGCAAGCAAGGCCAUGCAGAGAAGGGGUGCUUCCAGACUGCCCAGGCCAGGGGCAUCAUUAAGGGUGGGACUGUCUCGAGAGUGUCAUAGGAGAGUUGAGACCAACACACAAGUGUUGGAGAUGAUGGUUGAGGCAGGAGCAAGGUUUUUUGGGGUUUUUAAGAUGGGGUCUUGCUUGUAGCUCAUAGCAAUCAUAGCUUACCGCAGCCUCAAACUGCUGGGAUCAAGUGGUCCUCCCGACUCAGCCUUCAGAGUGACUAGGACUACAGCAUGCUCUGCCUCCUGGCCACGGAAGCAAGGUUUUCUUUACAUGUUGUCUUGGGAGAGUUCCUGCCUUUCACAGCAUACUCUGAGUAGAUAGCAGGCUGAACUGCAUCUUUCAUUCUCUUGCUUCAAAGCUGCUAAGGUGAUUUAGAAAAGCUAGCCACCUCCAUAAUCCUUGCAACAGCAGCUGCUUCCACAUCUUUCAAGUGACAAAGCUACUGCAUAAGCCAAGCUUUCUCUUCAACUUCUAUCUCCUUAUCUACCACAGGUAAGAGUCUCAUGCUUCAGGACACAAGGUUAUCACCAACUGUGUGUGUGUGUGUGUGUGUGUCUUUGUUGCCUUCCGAAUGGUAAGUGAUCUACUUUUAGAUUCCUAUCGCUAGGUCUGUCUUCUAGUGCUACCUCUAUUACUCAUUGCCUUAGCUUGAAUCCUCACAAAAACAGAGCUUGAUCCUGGAACUUCGGCAUAGUUAACUUGGGACAUUCCAGGAAACUGUAAUCCAUGUAAUUCCAUGCCUAUAAUCCCAGCACUCUGGGGGCCAAGGUGGGUGAAUCAGUUGAGGCCAGGAGUUUGAGACCAGCCUGGUCAACAUGGGGAGAGAGAUUGGGAAGAGUGACCCAGGGUACAGAACCAUGAGCCACAGCUGCAGCUUCAGUCAGAGCAGGGCUGACCAGAUAUAACCAGAAGUCCCAACAGCAUCCUGGACACCUCUCCUGCCUCCUAAGGGUGCAGAAAUCUGUGACAAUGGCUAAGCAGUAUCUGCUCCUCUGGAUUCAGGUGCCUAUCUCUUGUGGAGCUUUGUUCAUUCUAGAAGUACUUGGAGAGGUCCAAGCAUCGUGCCUCACGCCUGUAAUCCCAGCACUUUGGUGGCCAAGGUGGGCGGAUCAGUUGAGGUCAGGAGUUUGAGACCAGCCCGGUCAACAUGGCAAAACCCCACCUCUGCUAAAAACACAAAAAUUAGCCAAUCGUGGUCGUGCAGACCUGUAAUCCUAGCUACUUGGGAGGCUGAGGUAGGAGAAUCACUUGAACUCGGGAGGCAGAGGUUGCAGUAAGCCGAGAUUGCGCCACUGCACUCCAGCUUGGGCAACAGAGUGAGACUACGUCUCAAAGAAAAAAUAGGCUGGGCGCGGUGGCUCACGCCGGUAAUCCCAGCACUUUGGGAGGCUGAGACGGGUGGAUUAUGAGGUCAGGAGUUCGAGACCAGCCUGACCAAUAUGGUGAAACCCCGUCUCUACUAAAAAUACAAAAAUUAGUCCAGCAUGGUAGUGUGUGCCUGCAGUCCCAGAUACUUGGGAGGCUGAGGCAGGAGAAUAGCUUGAACCUGGGAGGCGAAGGUUGGAGUGAGCUGAAAUUGUGCCACUGCACUCCAGCCUGGGCGACAAAGUGAGACUCCAUCUCAAAAUAAAUAAAAAAAUAAAAAUAAAAAUAGCAAUACAACUAUUUGGAGAGGGCCAAAUAAGUGGGGAGCACUUCUCCACACUGAGAUACAGGCGGGAACAGAACAACAAACCCCAUAGAGCUUAUGUUUUAGUUGGAGGAGACUAAGAAUAAAUACAAUAUGUAGUAGGUCAAGUGUUAAUGGGUGCUAGAAACAAGAAGUGGGGGCCAGGCACGGUGGCUCACACCUGUAAUCCCAGUACUCUGGGAGGUCGAGGUGGGUGGAUCACCUGAGAUAAGGGGUUCAAAACCAGCCUGGCCAACAUGGUGAAACCCCAUCUCUACCAAAAAUACAAAAAUCAGCUGGGCAUGGUGGCGGACACCUGUAAUCCCAGCUAGUCAGGAGGCUGAGGCAGGAGAAUUGCUG